AAGGGCGAUUUGCAGGUAAAAUUUUUCAACGAAUUUGUGCAAUUUGCUUGUUGAUAAUAAACAUUUAAAGUGUUAUCCAUUGUAUUUUAUGUUGUUGGGUAUCACAAAACCCGAAAAAGUAUGAAAAAGUACAGCGGUUUGCAAUGAUUCUCCUUUCCCCCACAACGCACUGUAUGACGUCACGCUGGGGAGAGAAUUUACCAAAGCAGCCUUGAGAGCAUUGAGAAUGACUAUAGAAAGACGAGUAAAGUACAGUUCUGAUAGCGCAGAUUAUAGAUAGAUAGAUAGAUAGAUAGAUAGAUAGAUAGAUAGAUAGACAGACAGACAGACAGACAGACAGACAGACAGACAGACAGACAGAUGGAUAGGCUAGUAUUCACCUUAUUUUUCACGACAACAAGGGCGGCGCCAUUGCGCUCAUUUUGUCAACGUUCUUCCGGCCGCAUAGACGAUGAGCAGCUGAGGCAGUGACUGAAGGCGACGUGUUAAGCUUAAAAAGCUCACUCGAGCGCCUUUAUGUUUCUUUCUUACCAAUUUUAAGCCAACUGAGGAACACCCUUAUCCCAAGUAAUGGUUCGACUACGAUGUUCCGGUAACUUUAAACUACGCCUGGUGUUGGAAAGGUGGCCAGUUUCAGAUGCAUUGAUGUGUAGUGAUGCAGUGGACAACUGUGAGGAUGAUACAAUCAACAUGUUCCUAAACUGUGAUGCAGAAACACAAUGGGAGCAUCUAUCCGUCUCUGACCACAACUACAAAAUCACAACUCAACCUGAAGCAACAUACAUCUGAUAUGGGAAAACAAUGGUGCGGUUUCCCGGACAGGGCUUAUUCUGGUCCCAGGCUAAAAUGCAUAUUUGAGCUACAAUAAUUUAAAAACACCUUUUACUGACAUACCUCAACAUAUAUGAGUGCCAUUGUUUUGUCACAAGAUGCGCACCAGUCUUGUUUUUUUGUAGGAUUUGUUUGUAAAAACUAAAAUGUCCUAAUAUAAUUAAGGCCUAGUCCUGUAAACCCUGUCCGAGAAACUGCUUCAAUGUGUUGAGCUGGCACAAAUGUACAUAACUCUACUGAGAAACAACCAUCUUUGGUUCAGCUUUACACAGGGUUGAUAUUGCAUCCAUUACACAGUCGCCAAGCACUUUACCAGUACAUACACCAACAGCUUCCACAUAUACGCUUGGGAUCAGCUCCUGAUGAAUCCGAUAAAGCUGUGUCUUAAUUUAUUGCAGGGUGGUCUUGCUUUACCUGUUGUAAAGUUACAUUAAACCUUCAUAUGUGAUCAGAUGUCAUGCAGUGAUAUUAAACAUUUACAGUGUGAUCAGAUGUUGUGCAUUUAUAUUAAACCUUUACAAUGUGAUCA